rnacentral:rRNA from 1 species
AUUGAACGCUGGCGGCAUGCUUUACACAUGCAAGUCGAACGGUAACAGGGUGCUUGCACCGCUGACGAGUGGCGAACGGGUGAGUAAUGCGUCGGAACGUGCCGAGUAGUGGGGGAUAACGCAGCGAAAGUUGUGCUAAUAACGCAUACGUACUGAGGUAGAAAGUGGGGGACCUUCGGGCCUUACGCUAUUCGAGCGGGCGACGUCUGCUUAGCGAGUAGGGGAGGUAAAGGCUCACCUAGGCGACGAUCAGUAGCGGGUCUGAGAGGUUGAUCCGCCACACUGGGACUGAGACACGGCCCAGACUCCUACGGGAGGCAGCAGUGGGGAAUUUUGGACAAUGGGCGAAAGCCUGAUCCAGCCAUGCCGCGUGUCUGAAGAAGGCCUUCGGGUUGUAAAGGACUUUUGUCAGGGAGGAAAUCCCUAGUGCUAAUAACACUGGGGGAUGACAGUACCUGAAGAAUAAGCACCGGCUAACUACGUGCCAGCCGCCGCGGUAACAC